rnacentral:RNase_P_RNA from 1 species
AGAGACCUCUCGAUGGCCGCGGAGACGCAUGUCGUCUGUGAGGAACUUCCGGGCUCCACAGAGCAACGAUGGCGGAUAACGUCCGCCCAGGGCGACCUGAGAGAUAGCGCAGCAGAGAACAGACCGCCUCGGUUUCCGAGGUAAGGGUGAAACGGCGGUGCAAGAGACCACCGGGCCUGUGGCAACACGGGCCGCAUGGCAAGCCUCAUCGGGAGCAAGGUCAAGCAGGAUGCCAGGGAACUGCUCGUUCCGCAUCCGGGUAGACCGCUUGAGCCAACCGGCAACGGUUGGCCUAGAUGGAUGGCCAUCCACGCUUCGGCGUGACAGAACCCGGGGUAUGAGGGGUCUCGUUUU